GAGUUUGAUCAUGGCUCAGAUUGAACGCUGGCGGCAGGCCUAACACAUGCAAGUCGAGCGGUAACAGAGAGUAGCUUGCUACUCUGCUGACGAGCGGCGGACGGGUGAGUAAUGCUUGGGAAUGUACCUUAUGGUGGGGGACAACAGUUGGAAACGACUGCUAAUACCGCAUAAUGUCUUCGGACCAAAGCGGGGGACCUUCGGGCCUCGCGCCAUAAGAUCAGCCCAAGUGGGAUUAGCUAGUUGGUGAGGUAAUGGCUCACCAAGGCGACGAUCCCUAGCUGGUUUGAGAGGAUGAUCAGCCACACUGGGACUGAGACACGGCCCAGACUCCUACGGGAGGCAGCAGUGGGGAAUAUUGCACAAUGGGCGCAAGCCUGAUGCAGCCAUGCCGCGUGUGUGAAGAAGGCCUUCGGGUUGUAAAGCACUUUCAGUAAGGAGGAAAGGUUGGAUGUUAAUAGCAUUCAGCUGUGACGUUACUUACAGAAGAAGCACCGGCUAACUCCGUGCCAGCAGCCGCGGUAAUACGGAGGGUGCGAGCGUUAAUCGGAAUUACUGGGCGUAAAGCGUACGCAGGCGGUUUGUUAAGCGAGAUGUGAAAGCCCCGGGCUCAACCUGGGAACUGCAUUUCGAACUGGCAAACUAGAGUGUGAUAGAGGGUGGUAGAAUUUCAGGUGUAGCGGUGAAAUGCGUAGAGAUCUGAAGGAAUACCGAUGGCGAAGGCAGCCACCUGGGUCAACACUGACGCUCAUGUACGAAAGCGUGGGGAGCAAACAGGAUUAGAUACCCUAGUAGUCCACGCCGUAAACGAUGUCUACUAGAAGCUCGGUUCCUCGGAACUGUUUUUCAAAGCUAACGCAUUAAGUAGACCGCCUGGGGAGUAC
rnacentral:rRNA from 1 species